CCUACGGGUGGCAGCAGUGGGGAAUAUUGCACAAUGGGGGAAACCCUGAUGCAGCGACGCCGCGUGAGUGAAGAAGUAUUUCGGUAUGUAAAGCUCUAUCAGCAGGGAAGAAGAAAGACGGUACCUGACUAAGAAGCCCCGGCUAACUACGUGCCAGCAGCCGCGGUAAUACGUAGGGGGCAAGCGUUAUCCGGAUUUACUGGGUGUAAAGGGAGCGUAGACGGCUGUGCAAGUCUGAAGUGAAAGCCCAGGGCUCAACCCUGGGACUGCUUUGGAAACUGUGGAGCUGGAGUGCUGGAGAGGUAAGUGGAAUUCCUAGUGUAGCGGUGAAAUGCGUAGAUAUUAGGAGGAACACCAGUGGCGAAGGCGGCUUACUGGACAGUAACUGACGUUGAGGCUCGAAAGCGUGGGGAGCAAACAGGAUUAGAUACCCCGGUAGUC
rnacentral:rRNA from 1 species